rnacentral:rRNA from 1 species
UUAAGCAUAUCAAUAAGCGGAGGAAAAGAACCAACAGGGAUUGCCCUAGUAACGGCGAGUGAAGCGGCAACAGCUCAAAUUUGAAAUCUGGCGCAAGCCCGAGUUGUAAUUUGUAGAGGAUGCUUCUGGGUAGCGACCGAUCUAAGUUCCUUGGAACAGGACGUCAUAGAGGGUGAGAAUCCCGUAUGUGACCGGCCCGCACCCUUUACGUAGCUCCUUCGACGAGUCGAGUUGUUUGGGAAUGCAGCUCUAAAUGGGAGGUAAAUUUCUUCUAAAGCUAAAUACCGGCCAGAGACCGAUAGCGCACAAGUAGAGUGAUCGAAAGAUGAAAAGUACUUUGGAAAGAGAGUUAAAAAGCACGUGAAAUUGUUGAAAGGGAAGCGCCUGCAACCAGACUUCGCGGCAGUGUUCCGCCGGUCUUCUGACCGGUUCAUUCUCUGUCGCGAGGCCAUCAUCGUCUGGGCCCGCCGGAUAAGACCUUAGGAAUGUAGCUCACCUUCGGGGGAGUGUUAUAGCCUAGGGUGAUGCGGCGAGGCUCGGGCGAGGUCCGCGCUUCGGCAAGGAUGAUGGCGUAAUGGUUGUCGGCGGCCCGUCUUGAAACACGGACCAAGGAGUCUAACAUCUAUGCGAGUGUUCGGGUGUCAAACCCCUACGCGUAAUGAAAGUGAACGGAGGUGGGAACCGCAAGGUGCACCAUCGACCGAUCCUGAUGUCCUCGGAUGGAUUUGAGUAAGAGCAUAGCUGUUGGGACCCGAAAGAUGGUGAACUAUGCCUGAAUAGGGUGAAGCCAGAGGAAACUCUGGUGGAGGCUCGCAGCGGUUCUGACGUGCAAAUCGAUCGUCAAAUUUGGGUAUAGGGGCGAAAGACUAAUCGAACCAUCUAGUAGCUGGGUUCCUGCCGAA